UACAGAGGUCCCGAGCGUUGUUCGGAUUCACUGGGCGUAAAGGGUGCGUAGGCGGCUGAGUAAGUCUGAUGUGAAAUCUCCGAGCCUAACUCGGAAACUGCAUCGGAUACUAUUCAGCUAGAGGAUUGGAAGGGAGACUGGAAUUCUCGGUGUAGCAGUGAAAUGCGUAGAUAUCGAGAGGAACACCAGUGGCGAAGGCGAGUCUCUGGACAAUUCCUGACGCUGAGGCACGAAAGCCAGGGGAGCAAACGGG
rnacentral:rRNA from 1 species